rnacentral:rRNA from 1 species
AUUGAACGCUGGCGGCAUGCCUUACACAUGCAAGUCGAACGGCAGCAUAGGAGCUUGCUCCUGAUGGCGAGUGGCGAACGGGUGAGUAAUAUAUCGGAACGUGCCCUAGAGUGGGGGAUAACUAGUCGAAAGACUAGCUAAUAGCGCAUACGAUCUACGGAUGAAAGUGGGGGAUCGCAAGACCUCAUGCUCCUGGAGCGGCCGAUAUCUGAUUAGCUAGUUGGUGGGGUAAAAGCCUACCAAGGCAACGAUCAGUAGCUGGUCUGAGAGGACGACCAGCCACACUGGGACUGAGACACGGCCCAGACUCCUACGGGAGGCAGCAGUGGGGAAUUUUGGACAAUGGGGGCAACCCUGAUCCAGCAAUGCCGCGUGAGUGAAGAAGGCCUUCGGGUUGUAAAGCUCUUUUGUCAGGGAAGAAACGGUAGUAGCGAAUAACUAUUACUAAUGACGGUACCUGAAGAAUAAGCACCGGCUAACUACGUGCCAGCAGCCGCCGUAAAAC